AAACGAUAUUUAUCAUGUUUAUGCAUAUUGAUUGAAGAUGAAAGGAAAUUAAUGUCAAUCUUGAGUUUUCAACAGGUGUUCACUAUUUACAAUGAUUGUAUAUUCUGGCGCGUGUAAUUGUAUAGUCUGACGCGUGUACAAAGUUGAAGGUGUUAAUUGGAUGUUAUUGUAGCAAUAAAACAAGGGACACGCGACUCGUUAAUCUCAUUUGAUGUUCCACAUUGUGUGUACUGUUAUUACCUUAGGGUGAAGCCACAUCUAAUGUUGUUCCUAUCAAGAACAAUGAAUUAUACUGUUAGAAAGGAAAUAAUAUUUCA
rnacentral:lncRNA from 1 species